CCUACGGGGGGCAGCAGUGGGGAAUUUUGGACAAUGGGCGCAAGCCUGAUCCAGCAAUGCCGCGUGCAGGAAGAAGGCCUUCGGGUUGUAAACUGCUUUUGUCAGGGAAGAAAUCCUCUGGGUUAAUACCUCGGGGGGAUGACGGUACCUGAAGAAUAAGCACCGGCUAACUACGUGCCAGCAGCCGCGGUAAUACGUAGGGUGCGAGCGUUAAUCGGAAUUACUGGGCGUAAAGCGUGCGCAGGCGGUUGUGCAAGACAGGUGUGAAAUCCCCGGGCUUAACCUGGGAACUGCACUUGUGACUGCACAGCUAGAGUACGGUAGAGGGGGAUGGAAUUCCGCGUGUAGCAGUGAAAUGCGUAGAUAUGCGGAGGAACACCGAUGGCGAAGGCAAUCCCCUGGACCUGUACUGACGCUCAUGCACGAAAGCGUGGGGAGCAAACAGGAUUAGAUACCCCGGUAGUC
rnacentral:rRNA from 1 species